UGGCUCUCGCAUCGAUGAAGAACGCAGCGAAAUGCGAUAAGUAAUGUGAAUUGCAGAAUUCAGUGAAUCAUCGAAUCUUUGAACGCAUCUUGCGCUCCUUGGUAUUCCGAGGAGCAUGCCUGUUUGAGUGUCAUUAAAUUCUCAACCUUAUUAGCUUUUGCGACCUAAGGCUUGGAUGUGGGGGAUUGCUGCUGGCUUCUCACGAGGUCGGCUCCCCUGAAAUGCAUUAGCGGUACCCUGGUGGAAUCGAAUAUCAGUGUGAUAAUAUCUACGCUGUUAAUUCGUCCACACUUCAAAGGGCUUUGCUGCUUCAAGCCGUCUAGUUUCUGGACAAUCAUGACAUUUUUGACCUCAAAUCAGGUAGGACUACCCGCUGA
rnacentral:misc_RNA from 1 species